rnacentral:rRNA from 1 species
CGUAUCCUACGGGGGGCAGCAGUCGAGAAUCAUUCACAAGGGGGGAAACCCUGAUGGUGUGACGCCGCGUGGGGGAAUGAAGGUCUUCGGAUUGUAAACCCCUGUCAUGUGGGAGCAAAUUAAAAAGAUAGUACCACAAGAGGAAGAGACGGCUAACUCUGAGCCAGCAGCCGCGGUAAUACAGAGGUCUCAAGCGUUGUUCGGAAUCACUGGGCGUAAAGCGGGCGUAGGCUGUUUCGUAAGUCGUGGGUGAAAGGCGCGGGCUCAACCCGCGGACGGC